rnacentral:rRNA from 1 species
AGAGUUUGAUCCUGGCUCAGGAUGAACGCUAGCGGCAGGCUUAACACAUGCAAGUCGAGGGGUAGAGGUUGCUUGCAACCUUGAGACCGGCGCACGGGUGCGUAACGCGUAUGCAACCUACCUUUUACAGAGGGAUAGCCCAGAGAAAUUUGGAUUAAUACCUCAUAGUAUAUAUCAUUCGCAUGUUAGGUAUAUUAAAGUUCCAACGGUAAAAGAUGGGCAUGCGUCCUAUUAGCUAGAUGGUAAGGUAACGGCUUACCAUGGCUACGAUAGGUAGGGGUCCUGAGAGGGAGAUCCCCCACACUGGUACUGAGACACGGACCAGACUCCUACGGGAGGCAGCAGUGAGGAAUAUUGGACAAUGGGCGCAAGCCUGAUCCAGCCAUGCCGCGUGCAGGAAGAAGCAUCUAUGGUGUGUAAACUGCUUUUGUACAGGAAGAAACAUCCCGACGUGUCGGGACUUGACGGUACUGUAAGAAUAAGGAUCGGCUAACUCCGUGCCAGCAGCCGCGGUAAUACGGAGGAUCCAAGCGUUAUCCGGAAUCAUUGGGUUUAAAGGGUCCGUAGGCGGUUUGGUAAGUCAGUGGUGAAAGCCCGCAGCUCAACUGUGGAACGGCCAUUGAUACUGCCAGACUUGAAUUACAAGGAAGUAACUAGAAUAUGUAGUGUAGCGGUGAAAUGCUUAGAUAUUACAUGGAAUACCAAUUGCGAAGGCAGGUUACUACUUGUGGAUUGACGCUGAUGGACGAAAGCGUGGGGAGCGAACAGGAUUAGAUACCCUGGUAGUCCAA